AUACUUACCUGGGAGAGAGAGACCAAGAUCAUGAGGGUGGUUUUCCCAAGGCGAGGCUUAUCCGUUGCACUCUGGAUAUGCUGCCCCCUGUAAUUUCCCCAAAUAUGGAAAACUCAGAGGCAUACAUGUGGUAGUGGGACACUGCGUUUGCAUUUUCCCC
ensembl:snRNA U1 U1 spliceosomal RNA